UUGGCGCUCCUGAAACUGGAGUUAAACUUGGAGCUGCCAUGUAGGCGCUGGGAACCAAACAAACCCGAGACCUCUGCAGGAGCAGCCCUAACCCAUGAGCCGUGUCUCCACCCACUUACCUUCACCCUCGCCUCCCCAUCAAAUCUUGUGCCUUAGUUUUGCUUCCCAAAGUUAACUUGGCUUCCCAUGACAUGCCUCUGGCUUAUUCUCAGCCUAAAUGGCUCUCCUCCGGUCUGGCUUGACUUCCAACCAAGGUUUUCUCUGUAGGGCUUACCAGUGUAGAAGGGAUGGGAGGAGUUAGUGCGCGUGCACAAGCAGGCUCUACUGAAUGUUUUAUUAAAGGGAUUCCGUCGUGAAGGCUGUUCUUCAGAUAGGUGCCCAUGCUUUUUCCUUACCAAACCUCAGACCAGACUAGAUUUUGACUCUUACUGGCUCACUUUAUCUAAUUGCCACAUCACACCUCUUCCCAAGUGCUGCAUUAAACUCAUUCCCUGUAGUACAGUGCGUUACUUCUGCCAGGGACCUGUAAGAUUAUCUCAGACACAUCAUGCACAUCUGGCCAUUCUCCCAAGUCCUGUUGAUGGUAUGUUCUUGUGCGUGCCUGCCUCCACUCCUCUGGCUGUGUAGCCCAGGUUGUCAGAAAACACAUCGUCUUUCUGCCUCAGACUCUAGAGUGCUGUGAUUCCAGGAAGCUAGUGCGCCAAAAAGCCAAAAUAAAUAAAAGUGGAUUUCAUG
rnacentral:lncRNA from 1 species